ACUAUUUUAGUAUACUAUAUUAUAUUAGCUUUUCGUGCUAAGGAAGGUGCUUGUGCACCAAAUAGUG
rnacentral:tRNA from 2 species